AGCUCCAGUAGCGUAUAUUAAAGUUGUUGCAGUUAAAAAGCUCGUAGUUGGAUUUCUGGUACGUCGAGCCUGACCCGCUCCGGUUACGGUUGUGUGUGUCGGUCGCUUGUCUACCAUCCUUCCAGAGAACUUACUCUACCCUUCACUGGGCCGGGGUGACUAUCUGGAACUUUUACUUUGAAAAAAUUAGAGUGUUCAAAGCAGGCUUGCGCUAUGAAUACAUUAGCAUGGAAUAAUAAUUUAGGACUUCGGUCUUAUUUUAUUGGUUUCUAGGACUGAAUUAAUGAUUGAUAGGGAUAGUUGGGGGUGCUAGUAUUCAGCGGCCAGAGGUGAAAUUCUUGGAUUCGCUGCAGACUAACUUAUGCGAAAGCAUUCACCAAGGAUGUCUUCUUUAAUCAAG
rnacentral:rRNA from 1 species